UGUUUCAUCCAUUUUAGGUUCCAUCAAUUUUAUAACAACUAUCUCCAACAUGCGUGGACCUGGAAUGACUAUGCAUAGAUCACCCCUUUUUGUGUGGUCCGUUCUAGUGACAGCAUUCCUACUUUUAUUAUCACUUCCGGUACUGGCAGGGCCAAUUACUAUGUACUA